UACGUAGGGUGCGAGCGUUGUCCGGAUUUAUUGGGCGUAAAGAGCUCGUAGGCGGUUUGUCGCGUCGGCCGUGAAAUCUCCACGCUUAACGUGGAGCGUGCGGUCGAUACGGGCAGACUUGAGUUCGGUAGGGGAGACUGGAAUUCCUGGUGUAGCGGUGAAAUGCGCAGAUAUCAGGAGGAACACCAAUGGCGAAGGCAGCUCGCUGGAACGGUACUGACGCUGAGGCGCGAAAGCGUGGGGAGCGAACAGG
rnacentral:rRNA from 1 species